UGGGGAAUAUUGCACAAUGGGCGAAAGCCUGAUGCAGCAACGCCGCGUGAGUGAUGAAGGUCUUCGGAUUGUAAAGCUCUGUCUUUUGGGACGAUAAUGACGGUACCAAAGGAGGAAGCCACGGCUAACUACGUGCCAGCAGCCGCGGUAAUACGUAGGUGGCGAGCGUUGUCCGGAUUUACUGGGCGUAAAGGGUGCGUAGGCGGAUGUUUAAGUGAGAUGUGAAAUACCCGGGCUUAACUUGGGUGCUGCAUUUCAAACUGGAUAUCUAGAGUGCAGGAGAGGAGAAUGGAAUUCCUAGUGUAGCGGUGAAAUGCGUAGAGAUUAGGAAGAACACCAGUGGCGAAGGCGAUUCUCUGGACUGUAACUGACGCUGAGGCACGAAAGCGUGGGUAGCAAACAGGAUUAGAUACCCUGGUAGUCCACGCCGUAAAACGAUGAGUACUAGGUGUAGGAGGUAUCGACCCCUUCUGUGCCGCAGUAAACACAUUAAGUACUCCGCCUGGGAAGU
rnacentral:rRNA from 1 species